rnacentral:rRNA from 1 species
UACGUAGGUGGCAAGCGUUGUCCGGAUUUACUGGGCGUAAAGAGCGCGCAGGCGGUCGUCCAAGUCGCGUGUGAAAGCCCCCCGGCUCAACUGGGGAGGGUCACGCGAUACUGGUCGACUCGAAGGCAGGAGAGGGUAGUGGAAUUCCCGGUGUAGUGGUGAAAUGCGUAGAUAUCGGGAGGAACACCAGUGGCGAAGGCGACUACCUGGCCUGUUCUUGACGCUGAGGCGCGAAAGCUAGGGGAGCAACGGGG